AAUUGCUGGAACGAAAUGGAGCACAAGUGGGCACAAUGAUGUACUUUCGUGACAUAUUUCGCUUGCUCAGCUUUUAACAGCACCGCCUGAGCGUAAUAUACGUAAAGGGCUUCGUACGCACACAGCAACGGAUGACAAUAGUGAGGGUGAAUUAUAAAUGAUAAGUAGAUGAGUGUAGGACAAUACGGCGGGCCAAGCUGUAGUGUGGACGACUCCCGCUGCUGCAUCACCUUCAGAGCUUCCAGCAGAGAAAAUUACAAGGUGGUAGUAAAUAGUGACUAUGGAAGUAGACUGGCUGUAUCACAUGAGACGGGAAAUGCAGGAGAUUCUUCCAGGACUUUUUCUUGGCCCCUAUAGUGCAGCAACUAAAUCCAGGUUCAAUACACUUCUGAAUCAUGGAAUCACACACAUUAUAUGCAUCAGACAGAGUAUAGAGUCGCACAUGGUUCGGGCUAAUUUUCCUGACAAGAUUAAGUACUUGAUAUUAGACAUGGCCGACAACCUGACUCAGAACCUCAUAUCUCAUGUAUCAGAAUGUCGGAGGUUCAUUGAUGAGUGCCUGGCAUCAGGAGGAAAAUGUCUUGUUCAUGGCAACCUUGGAAUUUCCCGCAGUGCAGCAAUUGUAGUCGCAUACGUCAUGGAAAAGAGAGCUUUAACCUAUAAAGAGGCACUAGAAUUUGUGCAAAACAGAAGAUAUUGCAUCAAUCCAAAUGAUGGUUUUAAACAACAGCUGAUUGAGUAUGAAGCAAUUUACAAAGCUCAGCAGACUCUUCUCAAUGGUCAGUGUUCACAAGAAAAAGGGAAACUUAAAAGAAAGCAUGAUCAAACUAUUGACGAUUUUGAUCAGGAUUCUUCAGAACCAAUGGAAGCCUUAAGUUGAUAAACAAAAAUCCCAGUAUGGGCAAAACAUUUCAUACACAAUCAGACCUUGUGAUAAUUGAAAUAUUGUGAAGCUAACCAGUUUCACUAAUGGUCCUUGUAAAGAGUUAGUUGUGUCAAAUUUUAUUUUUUUAUUUUCUUAUGGGUAGAUGAAAUAUUCCAGUACUAUAGUAAGUUGAUUACAGAAAGAAAAGUCAUGACAUUAAUUUCUCUUGCUUUGUGGAGGCUUAACAGUAGAGUCUAGUUAUAGUCUCAAAUUCACUUUAUUUAUUUUUGAAUACAGGAGAAUUUUGAUAAGAUUUUUAUAUAUACUGUACUGUACUGUAAUUGUAUAUUGAUACUGUGUAGAAAUAUUAUUCAUUUGUGUCAAUAGAUAACAGCAUAGACAUGUCUUUGCUCACAUUCAAAUUAAGACAUGCAAUUCUUGGGUAAACAAAAAAUGAGUUUAAAAUAUGCUUCAAGAACAGAUUAUUAUUAUUAUUUCUUAUGUCUAAUGUCAGACUUAUUUAAGUUCUUUAAAUUGAAACGAGCCAUAAGAAAAGCCUUCUUGUAAUUUGAAGCAGAGGCCUUCUGCGAGCACACACAUACAGAUCUCUUCUCUCACAUCACAUACUGCUGGUAACAUCCCAGAUUGGACUUUAAGACAGGCUGCAGUAACACGGUUAUAUCUGACACAAUGUUUAUUGAUAAGAAAACAUAUUUUGGAAAGUGGGCUUUAUGAACAUCCUUUGGUAAAAUGAAUGAUUCUGUUUAAUUUAUUACUUUUGAUUGAGUCUAUAGGAUUUUUCUUUUGAUUAUCUAUGCAUUAGCAAAUUUCUAUCAGUUAAUCUAGAUGGUAUAUAGGAUUGCCACAGUCCCUUUGACAAACUCUAGUUCUCAGGGACACCUUCAGGCUGCUAAGUUACAGAAUGAGAGAGAGAAGGAGGAAAUAAGAUGUGUGUGUACGCACAGUGUGUGUUUGUGUACGCAUCGUAAUACGUAAUAAUACGUACAUAAUAUCUGUGUGUAUACGCACAGACACACACCCAUAUUCUUAGUAAGGUAAUAAAUACAAGCAAGCAUGCAUUGAAGGACAAGUUCAUAUAUACCAAACAUCUGCCAUUCUAAACAAGGAAGUUUCUGCACAAUUCUAUCACAAGAAUGUGACGUAUAUAUAGGAGAGUGUUGAGGUUGUGUGAUGGGGUACAUCCUGCAUCCCUGGAAAGUUGAGAUGAUCUAAUGUGCAUCCCUGGAGUGUUGAGGUGAUCCAACCCAUGUGCCUGGAGAGUUGAGGUGAUCCAACCCAUGUCCCUGGAGAGUUGAGGUGAUCCAACCCAUGUCCGUGGAGAGUUGAGGUGAUCCAACCCAUGUCCCUGGAAAGUUGAGGUGAUCCAACUCAUGUCCCUGGAGAGUUGAGGUGAUCCAACCCAUGUCCCUGGAGAGUUGAGGUAAUCCAACCCAUGUCCCUGGAGAGUUGAGGUGGUCGAUACAACAUCCCUGGGGGGGUUGAGGUGGUCGAUACAACAUCCCUGGGGGGGUUGAGGUGGUCGAUACAACAUCCCUGGGGGAGUUGAGGUGGUCGAUACAACAUCCCUGGGGGAGUUGAGGUGGUUGAUACAACAUCCCUGGGGGGGUUGAGGUGGUCGAUACAACAUCCCUGGGGGAGUUGAGGUGGUCGAUACAACAUCCCUGGGGAGUUGAGGUGGUCGAUACAACAUCCCUGGGGGGGUUGAGGUGGUCGAUACAACAUCCCUGGGGGAGUUGAGGUGGUUGAUACAACAUCCCUGGGGGAGUUGAGGUGGUUGAUACAAAAUCCCUGGGGGGGUUGAGGUGGUCGAUACAACAUCCCUGGGGGAGUUGAGGUGGUUGAUACAACAUCCCUGGGGGAGUUGAGGUGGUCGAUACAACAUCCCUGGGGGAGUUGAGGUGGUUGAUACAACAUCCCUGGGGGAGUUGAGGUGGUCGAUACAACAUCCCUGGGGGAGUUGAGGUGGUUGAUACAACAUCCCUGGGGGAGUUGAGGUGGUCGAUACAACAUCCCUGGGGGAGUUGAGGUGGUUGAUACAACAUCCCUGGGGGAGUUGAGGUGGUUGAUACAAAAUCCCUGGGGGAGUUGAGGUGGUCGAUACAACAUCCCUGGGGGAGUUGAGGUGGUUGAUACAACAUCCCUGGGGGAGUUGAGGUGGUCGAUACAACAUCCCUGGGGGAGUUGAGGUGGUUGAUACAACAUCCCUGGGGGAGUUGAGGUGGUCGAUACAACAUCCCUGGGGGAGUUGAGGUGGUUGAUACAACAUCCCUGGGGGAGUUGAGGUGGUCGAUACAACAUCCCUGGGGGAGUUGAGGUGGUUGAUACAACAUCCCUGGGGGAGUUGAGGUGGUUGAUACAAAAUCCCUGGGGGAGUUGAGGUGGUCGAUACAACAUCCCUGGGGGAGUUGAGGUGGUCGAUACAACAUCCCUGGGGGAGUUGAGGCAAGCAGGAUCUGUCCCAUCACACACCCCUCGAUAAUUUCUCCCAGGAAGUUUCUCUUUAUGUUGGCUUGAGAGUUGAGCCUUGAUGUGUGCCUUGAUCCUUCAUAUAAUGUGGAGGAAUGCUCAUAUGGCCUCAGCCCACUUGGGUUCAAUUCUCAAAUUCUUUGUUAGUUUUUGAUGAACUUCUUUUAAACUUUUAUAUGUCCUGCAGACUAUGGAUUAUCCUUUUCAUCUUUACAACAUCUAAAUGACAAUCUUUGGGCUUUUAAGACGGAUAUCCUUGAGCAGACAAGUGGCUUGUGGUGAUACUGAUAUUUACAGAUUGUAACUGUGUACUAGAUGCAUGUGUUUAACUAAAAUAGUUUUAUUGGCUCCAGAUGGAAAGUUUAAUUUAUGUACAUUAUUGCAUGGACAUAACUUGAUUACCCCAUGCAUACACACACAUGAAUGCGUACAAACAAACAUACAACCACCAAGGAAUAAUCAAUAGCUCUAAGGAGACGUUCAACAGUUGUAGCUCAUUUCCACAUACACAGUCAAUAACAUGCACAUGAAUAUACAACAUAAGCACACAUCCAAACAUGGGCAACACCCGACCUAUUCAAUACGCACAUAGACAUUCACUUUAUCUUUUUAUUUAUUUAUUUAUUUAUUUAUUUAUGUAUGUAUUUAUUUUUUUCUCUCCACACUAGCUGUCUUAUUUUCCCUCUUAUCCCCUCCACUCUCCUCUUGUUACUUGUUAUCGUGCCUCCAUAUCUUACCCCAUACAGCAGUCCUCUCACUACCUCCCUUCACAUGGCUUGCUGCCAGUACUGCCCUCUCCAUCAUUCCCUCUACUUGGGCAGGAUGGUAGAGUGAUGGUCUCGCUUCAUGUUCAAUCCCCGACCGUCCAAUUGGUUGGGCACCUUUCCUUGCUCCCGUCUUAUCCCAAAUCCUCAUCCUGACCUCUUCCCACGCCCACUCACACUCCUAUAUGUUACACACAUUUGAGUUGGCUUUGAAAUUGAUGUUUUUUUAUAUAAACUUUAAUUUUCUUUUUCUUAGUAUUAGACUACAAAUACCUAUAUUAGGAAAUAAAUUUUACAUGUAAAUUGGUAUAAUCAUUUGAAAUGUCUAGAAAAUUUGAUAUUUUUAAUGAAUGAAUUACAUGCACAAAGGAAUAUGGGGAGGCCUACAGUUGCCCUGGUGGUUGGCUAAGCCCACCUCUGAUGCUGGGCUCAAAAUGUUGAGGAUUGGUGGGAUGCAUACAUACAGUCCGUUAUCAUCUUUACCACCGUUUCAAAGUAUAUUCUGAAAUAUACAUAUCAUGAAAUAUUAAGCUGAUGAAUACUCUCCCAGGGCUUCCAACGUUUAUUGUUUGUAUGAUUCAAUCUCUUCUUUUCUCCUGAAAUCAUGUUCAUGUUGUGCUCUGGUUGGUUAAGUAAAUGUUGGGAAGUUGAGAGCAAGUUUAGAUCCAGCCAGGUCAACACGCAUGGCUGUUUUUCCCUGUGUUUUGUUAGUCUUAUAAGAUUUUCAUUUUAGACUAACAUUGUAUGUACCUAAACACCUCUCUAAAACAUUUGAUAUGCCAACCUAAACAUAGUUCUGUAUAUACUUUAUUAUUAAAGGACAUAACUAUUAAAACAAGAAAGCCAUCAGACUAAUUAAAUGUGAAUGCUUGCAUCAAGCAGUCAUCAGUAUAAUUAGCUCAAUUGGCAUUAUAACUUAUCUUUUAUUGUAGAAUUAUAGUUUUGUGAUCUCCAAAUGAAUUUUGCAGACUAUUUAAGACAAAUAUUGUUUUGCACAAAAAGAAAAUUCUUUAAUUUUGUUCAUGCCAUGGUGCAUAACAAUUUUGUUCAUGCAUGGGCAUGGGUGCAUAACAGUUUUAUUCAUGCAUGAGCAUAGGUGCAUAACAAUUUUGUACAUGUAUGGGUAAGGAUGCAUAACAAUUUUGUUCAUGCAUGGGUAUGGAUGCAUAACAAUUUUGUUCAUGCAUGGGCAUGGGUGCAUAACAAUUUUGUUCAUGCAUGGGCAUGGAUGCAUAACAAUUUUGUUCAUGCAUGGGCAUGGGUGCAUAACAAUUUUGUUCAUGCAUGGGCAUGGGUGCAUAACAAUUUUGUUUGUGCCAUGGUGCAUUACAAUUUUGUUCUUGACAUGGGUGCAUUGCAAUUUUUCAAACACUGCCUUCCUUGGAAUAUAGAAAGAAAUCAAACUUGUAUAUUUAUUAUAUCAUUACUCAAGUAAAAGGUAUGCUACAACUGGCAUACAACUUCACAUCAAGGUGUUUACGUUGAAUAUCCACGCUAGCAAAAUAUUUUGUCAUCAUAUUUUGUAUUGAAUUGUUUACAAAAAUUGUAGAAGGUAUUCAGUAUUGCUGAUGACUAUAAAUAUUUUCUAGACACAAGAGGAGUUCUUUUCACCUUAAAUCAAUUAAUUAUAAUUUCCAGUUAUCUAAAUUAAGAGUGCUUUAGCAUGA
rnacentral:misc_RNA from 1 species